GCAUUUUGUAAUGGCUGCUGAUCACUAUUCCAGAAAGGUCAAAGCAAGGCCAACCAGGAUGAGAUGAAAAUGUGUAUCAAGAAUUCAACCAUAUAGUUAGUAAGAAUUAUAUUGGUCUCUUGAUCAUCACUGCCCACAGCUGAUUCAGAUCUUCUGGUCACAGAGAGGUCUCACUGGACAGAUUUCUAUCUUCUACAAGCUGUCAAGGCCUCUGACCUUACUGACAUGCGAUGUGUUGUCAUUUGAGUGCUUCCAGUAGUUCUGAUGACCCAACAGUUCUUCAAAGCAUGUUUUGCUUCAGAUGAUGGAGACUCAAAUCAACAUGUGCCCGUUGGAAUUCUUAACCGAGAAAAUUACGAUGUGGCUCUGCAACCCGUCCUUCCACCUCCACCCAUCCUCUGUGGGAAUCAUCUUGGAGGAAAAUGUUGUAAUGGACAAUAUAGACAAUAUACCCCAGGCCAUGUGUCUUUUUGGAUCAACCUAUGCACAGCACCUAGGCUACACAAAAUGCAAGGACAAUACCCUUCUUUUUAUUCAACAAGUUUGGGUAAGAAGACGCUGAAGGGUAAGAUUCUGGCUUGUCAUGUAAACUGGUACAAAAAAGGCAUGUUCCUUCAGGCUUGCUGUCCUAACUGUGAGUUAAAAAAAACUUAAAACUAUGCCUUAGUGUUUGGCAAGUGUAAAUAUUCCAUAAUGUUACAAUGUAAUAAUAUCUUGUGGUUGUUUAUUAUUUGGAUAUGUUUGUAAAAAUGUAUUUAAAUAUUUUAAACAAGUGUUUUAAUAAGAUUUAUAACAAUAAAUAUUAACAAUCUGUU
rnacentral:lncRNA from 1 species